CUGCUUAUGUUGGCAGCAUAGAUACUAAAAUUGGAACGAUAUAGAGAUUGGCAUGGCAUGGCCCCUGACACAAAAAUUUGUGACACUUUCAAUAGUUUA
rnacentral:snRNA from 1 species